GAGAGUUUGAUUCUGGCUCAGGACGAACGCUGGCGGCGUGCCUAACACAUGCAAGUCGAGCGAGGAGAUUCCCUUCGGGGAUGAACCUAGCGGCGGACGGGUGAGUAACACGUGGGCAACCUGCCUUAUAGAGGGGAAUAGCCUUCCGAAAGGAAGAUUAAUACCGCAUAACAUUACAUUUUCGCAUGAAAAAGUAAUUAAAGGAGUAAUCCGCUAUAAGAUGGGCCCGCGGCGCAUUAGCUAGUUGGUGAGGUAACGGCUCACCAAGGCGACGAUGCGUAGCCGACCUGAGAGGGUGAUCGGCCACAUUGGGACUGAGACACGGCCCAGACUCCUACGGGAGGCAGCAGUGGGGAAUAUUGCACAAUGGGGGAAACCCUGAUGCAGCAACGCCGCGUGAGUGAUGAAGGUCUUCGGAUCGUAAAGCUCUGUCUUCAGGGACGAUAAUGACGGUACCUGAGGAGGAAGCCACGGCUAACUACGUGCC
rnacentral:rRNA from 1 species